GAUGAACGCUGGCGGCGUGCCUAAUACAUGCAAGUCGAGCGAACGGACGAGAAGCUUGCUUCUCUGAUGUUAGCGGCGGACGGGUGAGUAACACGUGGAUAACCUACCUAUAAGACUGGGAUAACUUCGGGAAACCGGAGCUAAUACCGGAUGAUAUUUUGAACCGCAUGGUUCAAAAGUGAAAGACGGUCUUGCUGUCACUUAUAGAUGGAUCCGCGCUGCAUUAGCUAGUUGGUAAGGUAACGGCUUACCAAGGCAACGAUGCAUAGCCGACCUGAGAGGGUGAUCGGCCACACUGGAACUGAGCCACGGACCAGAUUCCUAAGAGAGGCAGCAGUAGGGAAUCUUCCGCAAUGGGCGAAAGCCUGACGGAGCAACGCCGCGUGAGUGAUAAAGGUCUUCGGAUCGUAAAACUCUGUUAUUAGGGAAGAACAUAUGUGUAAGUAACUGUGCACAUCUUGACGGUACCUAAUCAGAAAGCCACGGCUAACUACGUG
rnacentral:rRNA from 1 species